rnacentral:rRNA from 1 species
UACGGAAGGUGCGAGCGUUAAUCGGAAUUACUGGGCGUAAAGCGCACGUAGGCGGUUUUUUAAGUCGGAUGUGAAAGCCCUGGGCUUAACCUGGGAAUUGCAUGCGAUACUGAAAGACUAGAGUACGGUAGAGGGGGGUGGAAUUCCACGUGUAGCAGUGAAAUGCGUAGAGAUGUGGAGGAACACCGAUGGCGAAGGCAGCCCCCUGGGUCGAUACUGACGCUCAUGCACGAAAGCGUGGGGAGCAAACAGG